rnacentral:lncRNA from 1 species
GGGGCGGGGAGGAUGGGGGUGGGGGGGGGAGGGAUGGGGGGGGGGGGGAGAGGCGAACUUUCAUUUUCACGCCGCCCCCCCGGAGCCGUGCCGAGCCGUCAGGUAGCGGACGGAGCUCGGCCCGCGCUCGCAGCCCCAUUUCGCGGAGGGGGGAAGCGAGAUGGAGGCGCUCCGGGACCUCUCUCUGCACUUGACGUGAGGCUGCGGCGGGUCCGCCUCAGCCCCGGCGCCGGGCUUCCCUCUGCGGGAGGGAGCGAGAGAGCAGCGGGGGCCGCGCACCGCCGCUCCCCAGGCCCGCGCUCUCUCUCGUCGCCUUCUCGCUCGUCGCCUUUUUCUUUUUUUCCCCUAACCGACCGACACGGAGAGCUCCGAGCUGCCGGGCUCGCUCAGACCGUCAUGGCUACGAGAAGUGCGCUGCCGGUCAGAAACACGCGAUCCCGGGGCUGCCGGCUGAGCGCCGAGCGGUGCGUGAGGCACCGCACGCUGAUACCGCGCCCGUUCGCGGCUGCUCGCGCCGAGGCUCCGAGGCUCGGGAUCACUCGAGAGCCAACUCUUUUUUUUUUUUCUUUUUUUUUUUUUUUUUUCAAAGCAAGUUCUUAGCAAAAAAAAAAAGGAAUCGGUCGUUCCUCACAUCUUGUUUUCUUUUCCUUUUUUUUUUUUUCCCUUUUUUUUUUUUUUUUGAAAGGGAGAAAAUAGAACUGAUUGGCCGUAUAUUUACACUUUCAGGCUUAGCUGAUUAAAACUGCCCUGAGUGAAGUUUUCAAUGAGCACCGAAAGGAAUGGCAGCCAACGGCUUGGAGGUUUUCUUUUCUUUUUUUUUUUUUUUCUUUUUUUUUUUCUUUUUGCCCACGAAAGCAGCAUUUUGUGGUAGAAAUAGCAAUGAGAGCACUGAAAAAAAUACAUAAAAAAUACAGCGUUGCCGAUACCACUCGUCUGUAUUUAGAUUACGUAUCGUUCUGCCCUAAAGCAACUCUAGUUGCUAUUUUUCACCCAUUUUUUUUUCCCAACUAUGAUGCAGAAAUAAGACCUAGCAGAUAGGAUGUCAGCCUCUUUGCCAGGAUGUGGUAUUCUCUUAUACGAAUCACACUGUUGUCCUCUCGAAUGGCAUUUCUGAGGUCUCAUUAAGGAUUUCUAAAGGCAGUGAAGUUUCUGCACCGCCGCUAUCCCAUCCGUGCUUGCAGACACACACAGGCCCAAUCCUGCGUGUGGUUCUGUGCUUCGUUAUGGCCCUGUUCAGACCGAAGCUGGAAGUCGUAUUACACAAUCACUGCUCUCAGUAUUACUUAGGGCUGCACGAAGCGUAAACCCAAUGCAAUAGUCUCGGUUUGCAUCACCCACUUCGUUUCGCUGGGGUUUAAGCUAAAUAAUGCACAAUUGCCAUAAUUUUAGGAUCAGGGUGGUUAAAUAUUUGACGGCGAGGAAGGGCAGCCGCUCUCGUCUAACAGCCCCUGCAAUAGGAGGUGGGUAUUGCACUCUCUGGCUGCAGCAUCUGGGAGAGGAUUGUCAGCUUGUUUCCUCAGUGACUGGCAAAGCCAAGGAGUCACAGCAGGAGCACAGCUGAGGACAGAAGGCAGGGGAGAGGGAUUUUGAGCCUCAACAAAAGCGAUGUCAGUUCUUUAGAUCAGAUUUCCGUUCCAGAUAACGUGGGCUCAUCAGAACGGUGGAAGUCCUAUCUGCUGUGGCAGCUAAGAGAGGGUAGAGCUGCAGUUUCUGUGCUGCACUCCUUUCCUCGCACCUUUCCUCGCUGAAGCACUACCUGCACGCCGCCAAUCCCCCCACUGUAGGCACUUCUCCUCACAGACUGUCAUUACGUUCUCAGAGAAUCUUCCACUGCUGUAACAUGUGACAUGGCCAGCAUUUGUCAUGUUAUCUGCUCUCCUGUUGCCAGGGGGAGGAGCAUGUGCAGUUGAAUGUUUUGAGUUUUAUCUGCCUUUUUUGUUUUUUUUUUUUUUUUCUUCAAUAUAUGUGUUGUUUACAGUAGUGAGGCAAGGUCAAAGUCAUGUAUUUUGUUCUCCAAGCACUACGUGGUUGGUUGGGCUCCUGAUGGCCCUUAGCUCCUGGGCGUAUUCAUCCCAUAGACUUGUUCCAGCCCCUGAGAAAAGUGUAUCUGUAGAAAUGUUAGCUUUUUUCCCCUACUUGUGUAAAUUCCCUUGUGUCAGGUGAGAGAAACUGCCGACACGAGGCUGUAGUUUGGAGACCCAGGCAUUUCUUUGGGAAACCUGGAUUUAGGCCCCGGGAGGAUCUGGAGACCCCAAAUCUGUCAUUUAAAGUUCUAUAGAAAAUCAGUAUUAAGUGGAAGAGAGGGACUUGUAUUCACCUACCCCACUGAGAUGACAUUCCCCCCGGCUUCCUAUACUUGGGAGUUCCCUAUAUGGAACAAGAAUCACACUUGGGUAUCCCAAACGGCCGGGGUCUGUCUGCAAGGUGGCACAACCAAAGCAAGGUACUGAUCUCCCAGAAUGGCCCAGGAGCUCCCAGCUCGUCAGGGAUGGUUAGAAAGCUGGAGGCUGUCUUUUGACUCAGGCACGCAUUACUUUGCAAAUUACCUUGCUAUGUGUUUUUAAGAUUUAUUUUACAACCGUGAGGAUUAGAGGAAUUUGUCGUAAUGAAAACUGGCAUUGUGUCACUACUGUGUAACUGUGUAGCUGGAUUCUUUGGUCUGCCUGGGUACUUGCAUAUUAUUCCACUCUCUACUGGUCCAGCUCCUAAGUGAGUUACACCAAAUGGAGGCCAACAAGGUAUACCCAACGUGGAGCAAUUAUAAUAACGUGCACAUCUACAUAUUAUUUGGGUUCCCUGUUUUGGUAUGGCAUAUGUGUGCAUGGCCAGUGGAAAUUCCAACUUUUUUUUUUUUUUGUAUUUAUUUUUCUAAUUUAAGCUCUGCCUUGCUUUUGGUGCUUAUCCAGCCUUCUUUGCUGGAUCCCCGUUAGAGAUUCACCAAGGCCUCUCCUCAGACCUCUUCUGAAAGUUUGCUAUCAGUUGAAGUUUCUGCUUAAUAAUCUACUCUAAUAAUCAAGUGUAUUCAACAUCUCCUUUCAUUUUUGACUUUUCUGCUUCUUUCUGUGGCCAUUAAGUCUCCAAUUUAUCCUGACAAACAUAGGAUUUGGAAUUCAUUACUUAGGCCAUUUCAGGUUGUCACGUAGCAAGGACUGAAAUGUGCGCCGCUUAUUACUGUACAGUCAUUAGACUGCAGUGGCAGUGAAAACUAAGUUCUGAAUUUGCCAGCUGAGAGCUGAUCUAGGGAUCCUUCUCUUGGCACCAAGGACUGCAGGAAGUAUUUGCUAGAUUAGGAUGUACACCUGCUUUAUUAAAUUCCCUACAAAAUACUAAGUGGAAAAAAAAACCCCAAACCACCCAUAAACAACCUUUAGCCUAUUUUUGGUGUAGACUACCUGGUUUUUCAACAGCCAACUUUCAAUCUAUUUUUUUUUUUUUCCCCCAAUGUCUAAGAUGUUUAACACAGCAUAAAGGCAGCUGGUACAAUCCAAAGGCUGGGCUUAACUACGCUUUCCUUCAGUAUUGACUCUAAUACAGCCAUAGGCCUGACCCAUCAUGAACAUAUCCCUGAGGCCUCGGGAAAUACUUGCUAUUAAACUAAGGUUCUGUGGUGAAGUUUUGCUAAAACGGCCUCGCUGUAACUUCUAAACAUUGUAAAAAUUCUUCUGCAUGUUAGUGGUUGUGAAAUGUGCUGGUUCGUUAUCUGUGAAAACUGAAGCCCAUUCUUUAUGGAUUAAUUACAGCAGAGCAGUUGCCAAGUGAUCUUCUCCACAGCACCCACGAACUUUGGCCUUACACUGAAGAGGACUCGUCAAAUGCUUUGGGAGAUACAACACAGAAUUGGAAGAGAAGCAUGGAUCUACCUGAAGGGCAGUUCGCUGCAUUCUUGGUGUGUGGAGGAACGGGUCCCGUGCUCACUGUUGUUACUCCCACAUAGGCGGACUCUGUAACUGAUUAUAUGUGGGUAGGGCCCUAUUGAAAUUAAGGAGAUUCUGCAGUAGUGCGGGGUUCUGUUUGUGUGACCCUACUGUGCCUUCUUACUGUGAAUUCUGUCAGUGUAUCAUGGGUUGUGCUGGAACCUGCCUUUUGGGAUAAUUACCAAAUAAUAUAUUCCUCAAAACUUCUUAAUGGCACUGAGGCUUUGUGGAUAGUUGGUCACAUGAUGAGAAAAUUCAGCUAAAAUCCAUACAAUAUAUCCAUUAAGGAUAUCAUUAUUCUUGGAUAAUUCACCACGUGAACCCGGAGUCCUUCAGCACUGCUGUUAGGCCCAUCAAGACUACUUCUACCUGAUACCUUUCCUUCAGUAUCAAGAGGUUGACUCUGAUUUUGAUCAACAUAUGAUGCCAGCUUCCAUCAUUCAGUUGUUAUAUUUUCACACUGGAUACUUUCUCCUCAGCUGCCUCUCGUGUAGUAGCUGACUCCUUCAUAAACAGAACUGUUUGCUGUCUCCCUUUAAUAUCUUCUUAAAAGUUUUAUGUACUGUGAAGCUUAUGACAAUCCAACUAGAAAAUAAGUAUGUUGUACAAGUAUACUAAUACCGAUGCUUGUCACAGUAAUACUUUGUCAUUGCCUUUGUACUCUGCAGUAAUCUCUGUUGUCUCUUCACGUAGAAUUCAUGUGGACUUUUUGUUGUAUGCUUAUUCAUGGCCCAGCAUAACGAGAAGUGGUCCAGGGUGUAGCCUUCUAGGAUUUGUGGUAAUGCAAAUAAAUAAUAAUGAACACUUGUUGGAUACUGCAGUGUAGCCUCUGGAUUCUGCUGAGCCCUGACUCGCAUCAUACUUAAUGCAGAAAUAAGGUGCUCACAAAAAUAGGGGCCUCACAAAAGGGAAAGAAGUGAGUUUCAGCCAACACAGAAAAUGCUAGCACCCCAGAAGUCUUCUCAGCUGUCGAACCCAAGUCAAUAGCUACUGGCAUUGUGUCCAGAAAGCACCCCUCUUUAUCUUCUCCACAGCAGUAACAGCAGACUCUCCCUCCUCAGAGGAAGUUAAUGUGAGUAUUACGAAUCCUCAGUGUAUACAAGAGAUUAAAGGACUUCAUAUACUUCCAUAGUGUCAUUCUGCUACUUAGUGCCUUCCCUUCCUGACACAGCAUCUCUUGGUACAGAAAUCUUGAAUAACCACAGGCCAUUCUGUUGGUCAGUCCUUGUCAAAUACCACUUGGUUCUCUGUUGAGAAGGAACCUGCACUAGUUUUGAUUCGGUAUCAAGGUACGUUGCUACCUGAUACUGCUCUGUUUCCCUGGUACCUUGAAGAUAAUGAUUCUUCAGAAGAGUGGUAAGCGUGAAUUGCAACAGGAAUUCCUCAGGUAUGUCGUUCUCUUUCUGGAAGUGGGUCUGCAUGUGUCCCUUUUCCUUCUUUCAAAGUGACACCAAAAUAUCAGCAUUUAGAUGAUAACAGAGAUGAUGAAAUGUUAGUGCCUUGCUGAUAGAGAAAUGAUAGAUUGGUCUGUUGGUCUCUAUAUGCUAACUAGUCAAAUAAGUUAAAUUUAUCAGACUAAACCACAAAAUAUAAUUACAAGUGGUUCCAUAUCUGAGCAGGAGAAGCCUGGCAAGAGCUCUGAAUGAGCUGAUAGAGUGGACACAGUGACCGUGAAAUACAGCAGGAGGCCAGAGAGGCUAUACAAUUGAGAAGCUCGAUAGUAACAAGAGUUUUCAGUUUUCAAACUAUGGUCUGGAUAAGCUUAACAUUAGGGCAUCAUGCAUAAGCUGUGUUUUUAACUACCAUCAAGAACUAACUUUUGAGCAAACUAUCCAGAGAAUCCAGUAGAACGAGGACAGCUCUUGAGUUCGUUUAGAUUAGUAACCAGGAUUUGGUUGACAAAGUAACUAUAGGAAAGACAUUUGGUAGUGGUACAUCAUAUCAAACUGAAGUUUGUCGUAUUUGCAUGAGAGAAAAAGAUAAAAAUAAAUAAACAAUCCAGUAUUGUUUAACUGUAAAAAAGAACUGCAUACAAAUGAAGAAAUCGUUCAAGUAAAAAUUGUAAGAGGCUAAGAGAGACACAGAGUGUUUGUUUUCUAAUUCUGACCCAAGUGAAUAAGAAUUCAUGACAACUGAGCAGUAAGGGAAGUUACGAGGAACAAAUAGAUGUUUUUCAAAAAGUGAAAUCCAAACAAGCAAAGAGGAGAAGAGCACAGUUCUGGGAAGUUAAAUGUAGACCUAUUCUAAGGAGGGACAAAAAGAUUUUGAGGAGCAAUAGGCUAAAAUCAUAAAAGCAAAAAGAAAAAUCUAUAAGUGUAAACUUUUCAGUUAAUUCUGCUAGCAGGACACCGAGUUCCAGAGACAGAAUAUUUAAAGGCAAAGCCACUGCAGAAGGAAACAUAUGGACAAACCCUUACAUUGGCAGAGUUCAUUCCAGGGACAUUAGGAACAGUCCCAUAUAAAAGUUGUUCUUUAUAAGAAGUAUUUCAAUUUUUAAAUAUCAGUAAAAGAUUUUUGAACAACUUGAUUAAAUGGGCAUUAGCAGAUUGCCAGAUAGCACGAUGUUCUUUCGGUAGUUGCAGAGAAAUUCAGAAAUAAAACUGGUUAUCUGUGAACUGUGUUGUAUUAUCUAUCAUUUAAAUUGGUGUUGAUGACAGAGGAAUGGAAAGCAGCAAAUGUGACCAUGUUAAAAAGGUCUCUAGGGACGAUCGUGGACUAAUGUACUAAUAAGUCUGACUUCCAUGGCAGGCAAAAUGCCAGUGAAUGUGAUAAAGAAUAUAAUUAAUAGGAACACGUGUGGCUGUAAUAGGCAACCAUCACCUUGACUUUCUGUACAGGGUAGUUUUGUCUUACGGCUUCGCUUAUUGUUUGAAGCAGUAAACAGACACAUGGGAAUGGGUCACCCAAAAAGCUUUUAAAAAGGUCUAUCACCAAAGAAUGUUAACACAGUGAAGUGUUGAGAUACGUAAGAUUCCUUGUGGAUUAAUAAACGGUUACAAGAUAAAGAAGACUAUAGCAACUAGUAGGUGGCUUUAAUGACACCACCUCCCAGCAAUUUGUACUGGCACCUUUUCUGGUUCACCUGUUCCUAAAUGGUAUGAAAAGGUGCAGUGAUAAUGCUUAGAGACAAUAAAAGGCUACUGUGCAUUUGGAGUCAGAGCUGACGUUGGCCCUGAAGAGUUGCAGAAGGAUCUCACAGCACAGGCUGUGGUGCUGCAGGAGCCACGGCUGUCCCAGAGGCCAGGUAUGACUGACCCACUGUUAAACCAGACCUGUCAGCAGAGAGGGUCAUUACCUCAUCAUCUGUCAGCUCUGCAGGCUGCAGCCAGGCCUGCUGCUCAGAAAGGCAUGGACUUGCAGCUGUUCUAACAGGAGCUGCAACUUGGAAGUUCUACUUCCCUAUUUCUUAGGGUUUCACAGCCUUAGGUGAGCUUGAAAUACAGACUUUGAUCCUGGCAUUCCUGCCUGUCACAGAGGUGAAGUUUAAUUGUUAAGCUGAUGGCUGCUGUCUGGCUGCUGUGAAAAGCCUGGGUUCUCAAGCCUUUUCCUAAUGCUUGUGUGGAUUUUUAGCAGCUCUUGCUGAUUUCUUGAAAUCAUUCCGGAUGGAUUUGAUGCAAUAUGGUACUUGAAACAAAGGAGUCAUGCUGGCAUACCAGUCAGUUUUGAGCACUGAUGAGAAUUAUAUAAAAAACAGACACGGAUGAUGAAGAUAUGGCACAGCUAUUGGGCAGGGACAGUAACUGAAUCAGGAUUCUUCAUUUUGGAAAAAUGCUGGCUGAGGAGUAAUAACAUGAGAAAGAUCUCUAAAACCACGAAUAUGUGGAAGCAUUUAAUAGGAGACUCUAACUCUUUAUUUCUUAGAAUAGAAUAACAAGGAGCCCUUGGUCACUGUUUUCUGUAUCUUAGGUGACCUUUAUGAUAGCAGAAGAUACCAGUUUCAUCUGCCAUAGUUCUGUGGCACAAAACUGCACAUCUGUUUGUCCUGGACCAGCCGUGGCCAAAACCCAACCUGUGUAGAAUUACAGCUUUUCUGUAAAUAAAAGCUCGUAGGCCUUGUUGUCUGAUGAUAAAUUUUCAAAUAUGAAUCAAAUGUAAAUUGGUCCCUUUUUCCUAAACCUGAAAGAUAUACAUAUAUUUAUUGAUAUCUAAACUAUGCUUCUGUCUAUUCCUUUGUCUGGCAGUAGUAAUGUUAUGGUCAUAUUGGCCUUACUUCUCCUGUUUACAAAUGUAUGGGCGAAGGAGAAUGCCAGUUUGCUGCUACUUCAGAAAGCCAGAAGCAAAUAGCAGGUCCUAAAAUCAGUCUCAGGGGAAAUCAGAUAGAGGAGCAGUAACGUUUAACACAGCAACCGGAAGGUCAGGAGGGAGGGAGGGAGCAGGGAACAUCAUCGUAUUUCUGACGUGGCAGGAAUGGUUUUCAAGCCGUGGUCCACUAAGCCCUAAUGGGCUACAGGACUAUGGUAAGUUGAACAGCCGUUGGGCUAAACCAUAUCUAAUGGUGCUUUAAAUAGCACCUUCAAUUAAAAGUUUAAUCAGGUGGGAGUGUGCUGUUUUGUGAAAAAUGUUAAGGGCUGACAGCAAUCUAUUGCUCCAGAAAUUUGGGCUCUGCUCUUCUGCUGUGUAUGAAAAGGCAGAGAGCACUGCCUGCUUUUUCAACAUUAGAUAGGCCACAUGCCUCUGCAGGAGAAGCAUAGAAUCAUAGAAUCAUAGAAUUGCCAAGGUUGGAAAAGACCCAGAGGAUCAUCCAGUCCAACCAUCCGCCCUUCACCAAUGGUUCUCGCUAAACCAUGUCCCUCAACACAACAUCCAAACGCUCUUUGAACACCACCAGGCUCGGUGACUCCACCACCUCUCUGGGCAGCCCAUUCCAGUGCCUGACCACCCUUUCAGAGAAGUAGUAUUUCCUAACGUCCAGCCUGAAGCAGCAGCAAGAGAUUCCCAGAGGGAGCCAGGAAGAUCAAGCUGGUAGCAGCAACCCUUCUGUCCCCACCACGUCCUUCCCAGGAUCUAGUAACAGAACGGCUGCUUUUUUAAUUGUUGCCUUGUCCUGAGCACCGCUAAUAGUCUUUGCUCCUCUUCCUUUCCAUCUGCGCUCAUGAAUAGUGGAUUUAGUGGCCUGAGAAGUGAGGAUUGGGUCCCCAUAGCACAAAGAUUAGACUUCUCAUCUUAAUCAAAUGAACACAUAUGUACAUCUUUGAAUGCUUAUCUGACUUUCUAGCAACAUUAGCAGAUGCAGACUUUUCUUACGAGUAUUAGCCUGUCUUAGCACAGGAUGAGUUUAUUACUCUAAAAAAAUCCACUCCUAUUUGACCACGCUCUUUAGUUUACAUAAGCUCCCCGGAUGGUAAUUUUACAUUGUAAAAACCUUCCUUUUCCUCCUAUCAAGCCUCCUAUUAUUAUUAUUAAUAUCAUCCAUACUGACAAUUUUCCAGAAUCGUAAUGUAUUUGUAUUAGCUAUGCUUUCAGUUGCCCCAGCGUAGGUUACUUUCUGUUGUCAUAAAUACCACACAAGCACAUCCAUAAAUAAUUUGCAGACAUUAUAUCUUUUCCAACAUACUGCACAGCUUUUUAGCAGUCACGGUGGUGCUGAAGUGGAGAAAUGCCAAACUAUAAACCUCAUUCAAAUGGUAUAAAUGUGUUUAUCCUGAAGAAGUCUAUUGUCUUACCUAAAGUUAGAUUGUAGCAUACGUAUUAUAUGAAAGGUAAGCAAAAUACUACUGGCAACAGCAGUUACAGUAACGGUGUUCUAAGGGAAUUAAAGUAGGCCAGCAUGCUCUGUGUAACCCUUUUUUUGUCGCACCUCUCUUAUUCCUGUUUUUUUGAUACAUAUAGGAAAUGAGUUUUGUGAAUGCUUUUAUAUUAUUGUUAUUAUAUUAUUAUUACUAAAUGCCCCUUGCUAACUGAUAGGAUUCUGCAGUCACUUUUCAGUGUUCUAAUAUGUACAGUGCGUAUGGUUGGUUUGUCUUGUUCACAUGCACAGGGCUAAGCUGGGUAUGAGGUCAGGAGGAAAUCUUUGCCUUGUAUCAGAAAGAAAUAUACAAGGGAGGAGAGUGCUUUUCUAGCACUGUAGUGUGGAAAAAAACCUAUUUACCAGUGUCAUCUGGGGGUGAUAGGAGAGAGGGAUUAAUAUGCUUAUAAGCAAGGCAUGUGGGUAUAGAAGCAGUGAUGGAGUAUAUGGGUAGAACUGAAGAUCAGUGUAUGGGAGUAAAGAUUUAGGGGCAGAGGUCAGAACAGGAUUCCUGUAGGAGCUGGAGAGGUCACAGCUGGAUAAAUGCAUUGGGGUCAGCUGGAAGUCAGUACCCCAAACGUGGCUAUAGCUCUGCCACAUCCUCACUGCACACUUUCCCUGUCUGUUCUCUCCUGUGUCUUCUGGAAUCCCAGCUUCUUGUCUGAUUGUGAACUGGAAACCUUACUUUCCUGCUUACUCCAGAAACAAGGAUACACACACAAGUACAGAAGGCCCCUCAAACCCCUCCCAUUGGAAGCCUCUCUUCUUACUGUUCUUUCUAUGGGAUUCUGCAAUGUAGGUACAGCCAGGUGAGAAGUGGGCGCUGGGAGCAAAAUAAUGCCUCUGCUUCGCCUCUUCGUUUGCAUCUUCUCCAAGUGGGAUGUAUCCCAUCAUUAGAAAUCUGCUCGUCAAAGAGGAGUUCUUUCAUUCUUUUUCCCCCCUAUUCGUUAGAAUGUGACAGGUUUUUUUUUCUAUGUGGUGAAAUACAGUUUUUUGAUAAUGUUUGUCUUACCAAGAAGCACAACAGUUCGGGAUUUCUAGAGCCUAAUCUCUUCUAAUUCACAAUUCUUUGUGAUCCAGGACCUUCUUAAAAAGAAAGAAAUCCAGUGGGUGAGUGCAGCUACUGCUGAUACUGUCAGCCUUCUGAUAGUGUGCCUCGUUUUUUCAAUUACUAUUUUGCAGCCCACUUAAAAAUUGUUCAUAAAACCUCAAGAGUCUGCAGAUUGAGAGCCACUUUCUAAGGGGGUAUCUUUAAAUGGACGUUACUGUGUUGGUGGGGUUUUUUAAUUCAGGUGUUGGGUCUUUUUCUUCUAUCCCAUCUGUGAAACACCAAGUGUUGAUAACCAUCUGUGAAACAACAUUUGAUGUAAUGGCUACGACACUGCUUUAGAAAGCUCGUGAAAUAGAUUGCCUGCUUAGAAGAGCUGGCAUCUAAAAAUGUAUGUCAUGGACACAGGUAAUAAAUGUUGCUUGGGAGCUGUUACAGGGGAAAAAGAACUUAAUUUGUGUACGAUAUACUGGUCUUAACUUCUUAGCUUUUUAAGAUGUCUUUCUAAGUAUCCUGCUGUAUGCUCGUAAAGUAUUUAAAGAUACGAGUCAUUGCAUUUGCUGAAGUAUUCAGUGCAUCAUUUAAAAUGACUACCAAAGGAGAGAGGUGGAUUCACUUCACAUAACAGCUAAGCAUAAAAAUAAUGAUUCAGAAAUAAUCGUGUGGUUCCAGAUCAGUAAAAAUCAUUUUGUUUUUCUGUACAAGCAGAGCUCUGCACAGAACGGUGAUCUCAUUCUACCUUAUCAGAUUACAGUUCCCUACACAGAUUUUCAGUACUAAACUUUAUUCUGGUGAUUUUGUAACUUUAUUCAGAAAAAGGGGGAAAUGUAAACACUUUAAGUAAUCACUCUUUGUCCGUGCUAAAAGACUGCAUGCACAAGCUUAGUGUUUCCCCCCAGGAUUGGAUCCGUAGUCCUUCAAGUUUUGCUAUUACAGGGAAUGUGCAGGUGAAUAGGGAAAAGCAAAUGUGAAAGGAAAGAAAUCAGACGGAGAGGAGGAAAUUUCCCUUCCUUUACAGAAGGAGGGGAAAGAUGCAAGACGGUGUAAUGAGCGCAGGAGAAGUAACAGGGUGGAAAGGGAGGAAUAAUGUUUAGUGCUCAGACUUGUUAUGCUUUGUGCUUGCAUGGAAGGCAGACUGAGACUUCAGCUUUCUGACUAACUGCUGUGCUGAGCCGUACUUUACUCCAUGUGCAUUUUUGCCUUAGCGUGGCUGCUUCUAAAGAAGGCUUGAAAUUAUCUUUCUGAGGCAACCUAAACCACAAAGUGUAUUAUCCUGCUAGAAAAUAAUGUCUACCCCAAUGUUCUGUCUUCCUAAUCUAGCAGUCUAAAAACACUGCUGGAAACACAAAUAAUAAAAAAAGCCAGCUGUAUGUGUAUUUGCUGUUGUCAAUUCCACUCACUGGCAUUCGGGGCAGGGGACAGGCAUGCAGAAAGGCUGUAACACUGAACAGUGGCAAAAAUUCUGUGCAAAACCUUGUUGUAAUAACGAUGGAAGUGAAAACUGGCCUCAUUUAUCAAGUCGUUUUUUUGGUCAAGUUCUUGUCCACACCACGUUUGAGGCUCUUCAUUCUAGAUGGAACACUUAUAGCCAGUACUUUAUGUACCGUACUCAAAGAGCAAUAUGAAAUAUAAGUGAUUGUCUAAAUCAAGAAGAGGUUUAUCUAUUAUCUCUACAUCAGUUUGUCAGAACUUAAAUGGAAAGGGAGACCGAACGGAAAACUAUAAAUAUAUUAAAAUAUAUUAUAAAAAUAGAAAUACAUAAACCUUAACUGCUAGUUUAUCAUCAUUCAACUGGACUAGGCAAAGUCACCUCAUAAGCAAGUGUAGGUAUAGAUCAACAGACUAC